rnacentral:rRNA from 1 species
AUGGAUGCCGAAUUGAGACAAGUAGCUAAUGGUUUUGAAUAUAAGGUCCGUUCAUUUGACAAAUACGACAUCAACGGGUAUCGCUUUCGUACCUAUGGCAAAGAGCUAUCUAUGGUCGACCGAAAGUCUACAAAUUGUUGUGUCUCUACUAUCGGCGAAGGAGGUAUCGAGUAUUAUGGAAGAGUUGAAGCAAUUUAUGAACUUGAAUUCUAUGGUGAAAACCCACCAAACGUCGUAGUCUUCAGAUGUUAUUGGUUCCAGCCGAGGGAGACUAGAAGGACUCAUGAACAUAUAGGGCUAGUCGAAAUCAAACAAAGCACCCAUUUGGAUGUUCCCGAUGUCUAUAUUACGGCUCAAUAG